GAUGAACGCUGGCGGCGUGCCUAAUACAUGCAAGUCGAGCGAACAGAUGAGGAGCUUGCUCCUCUGACGUUAGCGGCGGACGGGUGAGUAACACGUGGAUAACCUACCUAUAAGACUGGGAUAACUUCGGGAAACCGGAGCUAAUACCGGAUAAUAUAUUGAACCGCAUGGUUCAAUAGUGAAAGACGGUUUUGCUGUCACUUAUAGAUGGAUCCGCGCCGCAUUAGCUAGUUGGUAAGGUAACGGCUUACCAAGGCAACGAUGCGUAGCCGACCUGAGAGGGGAAUCGGCCACACUGGAACUGAGACACGGUCCAGACUCCUACGGGAGGCCGCAGUAGGGAAUCUUCCGCAAUGGGCGAAAGCUUGACGGAGCAACGCCGCGUGAGUGAUGAAGGUCUUCGGAUCGUAAAACUCUGUUAUUAGGGAAGAACAAAUGUGUAAGUAACUAUGCACGUCUUGACGGUACCUAAUCAGAAAGCCACGGCUAACUACGUG
rnacentral:rRNA from 1 species